rnacentral:tRNA from 1 species
GCCUGGGUGGCUCAGUCGGUUAAGCAUCUGACUUCGACUCAGGUCAUGAUCUCACAGUCCGUGAGUUCGAGCCCCGCGUCGGGCU